rnacentral:rRNA from 1 species
AUUGAACGCUGGCGGCAGGCCUAACACAUGCAAGUCGAGCGGCAGCGGGAAAGUAGCUUGCUACUUUUGCCGGCGAGCGGCGGACGGGUGAGUAAUGCCUGGGGAUCUGCCCAGUCGAGGGGGAUAACAGUUGGAAACGACUGCUAAUACCGCAUACGCCCUGCGGGGGAAAGGAGGGGACCUUCGGGCCUUUCGCGAUUGGAUGAACCCAGGUGGGAUUAGCUAGUUGGUGGGGUAAUGGCUCCCCAAGGCGACGAUCCCUAGCAGGUCUGAGAGGAUGAUCAGCCACACUGGAACUGAGACACGGUCCAGACUCCUACGGGAGGCAGCAGUGGGGAAUAUUGCACAAUGGGGGAAACCCUGAUGCAGCCAUGCCGCGUGUGUGAAGAAGGCCUUCGGGUUGUAAAGCACUUUCAGCGAGGAGGAAAGGUUGUUGGCUAAUAUCCAGCAACUGUGACGUUACUCGCAGAAGAAGCACCGGCUAACUCCGUGCCAGCCGCCGCCGUAA